UAAAAAAAGCCAGCCUUCCUGCGAAGUAUGGGAGAUCAGCUGUUUGCUAGGGAAGCUGUUUCAACAGAACAGACUAGUGUGAGACUCUCUAUGAAGAGAGCUGGGGAGAAAGCCCAGGGGAAGAUGCUUGUGAGGAGGCAGGACAUAGACUUUCAAUGGUACUUCCUGGGCCUACCAUGGUGACAAUGGGUAAUGGGGAAUCAGGGUUCAAUUCUGGAGAGGGAGCCUGAGAAACGGCUACCACAUUCAAGCAAGGCAGCAGACGCGCAAAUUACCCACUCCUGACCCAGGGAGAUAGUGA
rnacentral:ncRNA from 1 species